rnacentral:lncRNA from 10 species
ACGCCGCGGCGGCCCCCGACGAGCCCGGGGGUGGGAACACAAAGAAUUUGGGAAGCGGCCGACCGCCCUUCCAUAAACCUCCGCAGAAGUCCAGGCCCGGGCCGCCGAGGAGCAGGAGGAGGCGGGCGCGCUGGAGUCCGCGGCCCUCUCCGCUCCCUGCCGAGGCUCAGCGGCGGGCGCGGGCUGAAGGCCGGGGUUCGAGGGCGGCGCGAGGCCUCCGCUACCCCCUCAGCCACCCCGAACCCCUUCCGCCCCGCCGCGAGCCAGGCCGCGGGAUCCCGGUGCCGGCCCCGCCACACCCACCCGCCUCCUAGGCCAGGCCUGGGAGGACUCCGCGGCUCUUUCUCGGGCGGCGGCGGCGGCGCGCCCCACGCCGGAUAUUUACCUGCUGAUCUUCUGGGCGAAGGCGCGGCGCUCGGCCAUGGCUGCUGCGGCGACGGCGACGGCGGCGGCGGCUGCGGCGGGCCGGGUGCGGACCGGCGGGCGCGUGCCUCCUCGCUCGUGCUCCCUCCCUCGCGGCCUCCGCCAGUCCGGGCUCCGGACCUGGGAGGCUGGGGCUGGCGGCCGGAGCCAGGAACGAGCCCUGCCGUAAUGUUCCUUAGAGGCGCGCAACGAGAAACCGCUCCUCCCCCAGCGCGUCAAUCCCGGCGGGAACCCCGGCUGCGGAAGGCGGCUGCGGCCGGCGGGAGCCGAGGGGAAGAAUGGAGCGCUGAGGAAGCGAGGCGCCAGCCCCAGCCGCUUCGCUGCCGCGGAGCCUGCACGACCGAGAGGUCGCGGAGAGAAGCCAGAGACAGGCCAGCGACCUGGCGAGGCAAGAAAAUAAGAUAACCGAACGCGUAGGGGGAGCUUGGCUUUCCCGAAAUGGAAGGGAAGGAAAUGAAAGAAAUUGACAAGAUUAUUCUAAACUCCAUAAGGAAAUGCAAGAGACCCAGAAGAGCCAAACAGUGUUGAAAAAGAAGAAAGUUGGAGAACUCACAUUUUCCAAUUUCAAAACCUACCGCAAAGUUAUAGUAGUCAAGACAGUAUUGUGCUGGCAUAAGGAUAGACAUAUAUAUCAACAGAAUAGAAUUGCAGGUUCAGAAAUACAUCCAUAACUUAUGGGCAACUGAUAUUCAACAAACAUGCCAAUACAAUUUAGUGGGGCAAAAAUAAUCUUUCCGACAAAUGACACUAGGACAACUGAAUAUCCACUUGCACAAGAAUGAACUCUUAACCUCAUAGCAUAUACCAUCGGAACUCAAAAUGGAUCAUAGACCUAAUUAUAAGAGCUAAAACUAUACUUUUUUAUCUUUCUACCUUGUCUAAAUAUACUUUUAUAAUAACAAAUUGGGAAAUAUGGUUAAACUUAUGGUUUUCUGUUAUUGAAUGUCAUCAAAUUGAUGAAUAACAAAUUGAUUGAAUAUCAAAGUUGAUUGAGCUUAAUUAAGUAUUAUUGUGUAUGUCUGUGUAUCCUGUUGAUAGACUGGCAAUAUUUGGGCAAGUAAUAAAAGAAAGACAUACAUAAUUUAUAAAUUAUUGCAUACUAUAUUAGUUUGCUAGGGCUGCUAUAACAAAGUACCACCAACUGAGUGGCUUAAACAACAGAAAUUUGUUAUCUCACAAUUUUAGAGACCGGAGGUCCACGAUCAAAGCAUUGACAAGGCCAUGCUCCCUCUGAAGGAGCUAGAAAAGAUCUGUCUCAUGCUCCUACUGGAAAGUAUAAUUCCAAUCGUCACCUAGAGUUAUCCCUUCAUGUUUGUCUCUGUGUUCAAAUUUCCCGUUUUAAUAAGGACACCAGUCAUAUAGGAUUCACAGUUCACCCUACUCUGGUAUUAUCUCACUUUACCUUAACUAAUCAUAUCUGCAAUGAUUCUAUUUCCAAAUAAGGUCAUAUUCUGAGUUACUGGGGUUUAGGAUUUCAACCUGUAAAUUUUAGGAGCAGGGGACACAAUUCAACUCAUCACACAUGCUUAUUCCAUGAGAUUAGUUUUCUUCCCUUAAUUUCAACAAAAUAACUAAAUGUGUUUUUAUAAUCAAUAUUUUUACAUAAAUUGUAUUUUAUUGUAAAAUGGCCUGAGGAAUUAAAAAAUAAAAAAGUAUAAGGUCAUAAAAUUUGCAUAAAUUUUAUAAAAAUAUAAGUUAAAAUAAAUGUAAAAUUUAACAAUUAUUUUUAUAUUUUAAAAAGUUA